rnacentral:lncRNA from 1 species
AAGGUAGCAGUUCGUAAAGACAUUCUAGCAUAAUUGCCAAUCUAAUAUGUAUAGAAAAACUCUUAUAGAAAUUCAAGAAUACCGAAUUAUCACAAUUUAUGGGAUGUCAAUUCGCAAAUAAACAUUUCACAGACAAUGCUAUAAUCAAUUACAAAAAUAUCAGUUUUCAAAUAAUAAGGCAGUCAUUUGCACAUGAAUUUUACAAUGUCUAAAU